AUCUAGCCCUGAUAGCAGCGGAAAUCCUUGAUUGCCGGUGUUCGGCAAGCAAGAUUGAAGUGAAUAGCGGAUGGUAAU
rnacentral:sRNA from 1 species